rnacentral:lncRNA from 1 species
CCGAACCGAAUUUUUUAUUUCGGUUAAAACCGAAUACCGAAAUAAAAAACCGAAAUUUUAUAACAAUGAACAAAAAUCACAAAAAUAAAGGAGAAAAAUCGAAAAAAAAAGGAAAAAAAGCAUCACUACAUCAUUUAAACUAGUACAUCAAUUCAGUAAAAGCCGAACCAUGAAUCAUCAAUCGAUGAUGACGAAGAAGAUGGCAAGAUGCUGGGUGAAGACCAAAGAAAACGAGCCAAUUAGAGAUGGCAAGAUGCCGUCAAGAGACUGAAGGUGACGGUCUGGUCAGUUGAGUCGCUGAGCGUGAGUCGACCCGUCUGGUGUUUGAAGUUUAAGCUGCCUGGGUGUUUGAAGUUCGAGCUUUUAAUUGAACUGGGUUAGAGAUUUAGUUGGGUUAGGGAUUUAGUGUGUUGCUGGGUUUGGAUUAUGUAAUAUAUAUAUAUAUAUAUAUAUAUAUAUAUAUAUAUAUAUAUUUAUAUUAGAU